rnacentral:rRNA from 1 species
GGUCAGUUGGUUGUUAUAUCUCCACUAAUGAGCAGAGAGGGGUUAAACCUUUGAAGUAAGUUAUGUGAAUCAAGGUAUGAUGAUUAAUUGGAGUUCUAGUUCAUUUACUUUGAGAAAAUUAGAGUGUUUAAAGCAGCCUCUUGGGGCACUGAAUACAUUAGCAUGGAAUAAUAGAAAAGGACUUCGUUUCAUUUCAUUGGUUAUGAGCGGAGUAAUGAUUAAUAGGGAUAGUUGGGGGCAUUAGUACUUAAUUGUCAGAGGUGAAAUUCUUUGAUUUGUUAAAGACUAUCUGAUGCGAAAGCGUUUGCCAAGAAUGUUUUCAUUAAUCAAGAACGAAAGUUAGGGGAUCAAAGACGAUCAGAUACCGUCCUAGUCUUAACUAUAAACUAUGCCGACUUGGGAUUGGAGGCGUGCACUUUCCGCCUUCAGCACCAAAACGAGAAAUCAAAGUCUUUGGGUUCUGGGGGGGAGUAUGGUCGCAAGGCUGAAACUUAAAGGAAUUGACGGAAGGGC